CACGGGGGUUGCGAGCGUUGUCCGGAAUUACUGGGCGUAAAGGGCGCGCAGGCGGCCUGCCAAGUCAGAUGUGAAAUGCUAUGGCUUAACCAUGGACGUGCAUUUGAAACUGGUGGGCUUGAGUACCAGAGGGGAAGGUGGAAUUCCCGGUGUAGAGGUGAAAUUCGUAGAUAUCGGGAGGAAUACCGGUGGCGAAGGCGACUUUCUGGCUGGAUACUGACGCUGAGGCGCGAAGGCGUGGGGAGCAAACAGGAUUAGAUACCCGGGUAGGUCCCU
rnacentral:rRNA from 1 species